rnacentral:lncRNA from 1 species
UCCGACCUUAUCCAUUCGCGUCACGCACCCUCGUCCUCUCGCUUCCCGCGGUCUCUCUCGCCUCCCUCACGCCGUCACGCGCCGCCACCUCCACCCUUCGCCAGCGAGACAACUCCAAGCAGCCAACCCCGUCCGCCACCCGUCUUUGCUUGGCUCUCGCUUUCUCGCUCCCCCCAGCGCUCGGCCCUUGCUGUCCUCGUCGACGCCGGCGGCGGGCAAGCCUGAUCGAUUGCCGCGGAUGAGGGCUGAAGGCUUUACAGAACCGACAGAUCGAGAGCGCAGUGCUGGUAUGGUUGUGAUUUCUCCCAGUACGUACCCACGUGCUGCUAGUUCAUGGUGGAGGAUGGCCAACUUCCGCUGCUACCCCGUCGGCAUGCAGCGAAUCGAUUUUGCUUUAUUCUUUUAAAGUAGAUUUUGCUUGAUACAUCCGCAUCCGUAUUUCGAUUUAAGGCUCAAGCUGAAGUGGAUUUGCAUGAUCCCAAUUGCAAUUUGCAAUCUUGUUUGCCUUUUUCCUUCGUUGCCUUUGGCUCGCGAGCUUAACCAGCCAGCUCGAGUAGCUACCGAGCAGAGCCGAGCAGCGUUUCCUGCUCGUUUCGAUUACGAGCUGAGGCGAGCUAGCUCCUUAUCUUAACAAGUUGGAGCGAGCCGAGCCGAGGCGAGGUGGCUCGUUAUCCAGCCCUCCAUAUAAUCUAGCUAGAAGUAGCACACAUCUGGUAAGCAUUCACUAGCUAGCGAUCCACAAAUUAAAGCUAUUUCCAAAUAACAUUACUGAAUUUAAAAAUACAUUAUUAGCAUAAAUAAUGACGUGACGUCGUGUCGCAUUCGGAGUUUGACGACAGGGACCGGCCGGGCAAGCUCGGUUACGUUCUCUAUCGCCGCAUGUUUGAUCUGCGUAAUGAUCGAUCGUAAACACCGAACCCUGAUUUUUCCAAAUCAACGCACUGCCCUUGGAUUUUGGAGGCCAGCUUUUGUAAAAUCUUAGGCUUGCGACAGUCAAAUCUCGGACGUCAAGAGUUCCAUUGCUUAAAGCAAACAUAUGAUUUAACUUCCCUUACGCCACUCUCUCCGUUUCAAAUUACUAUUACUGGUUAUUUUACCCAAAAAUAUUAUGUAUCUAGAAAAGCUAAAAUUUUCUAUAAUUUAAAAUGGAGAGAGUAGUUCUGAAGCAAGCAGAUUAAAGACAGCAACAAUUCAUCAUCAGCUCAUCAUCCAUUACGUGUAUGUAGGGAUCUAUGCACAUGGGUGCCAAUUAAGCAGUUUUGGGUCAGGCGGUUAGCUUAUUUUUCUUUUUCUUUUUU